rnacentral:tRNA from 2 species
UGGGGAAUAGUGUAACGGUAGCACUCCGGACUCUGACUCCGUCAGUCUAGGUUCAAAUCCUAGUUCCCCAGC